rnacentral:rRNA from 1 species
AGUGAACGCUGGCGGUAGGCCUAACACAUGCAAGUCGAACGGCAGCACAGUAAGAGCUUGCUCUUACGGGUGGCGAGUGGCGGACGGGUGAGGAAUACAUCGGAAUCUACUUUUUCGUGGGGGAUAACGUCGGGAAACUUACGCUAAUACCGCAUACGACCUACGGGUGAAAGCAGGGGAUCUUCGGACCUUGCGCGAUUGAAUGAGCCGAUGUCGGAUUAGCUAGUUGGCGGGGUAAAGGCCCACCAAGGCGACGAUCCGUAGCUGGUCUGAGAGGAUGAUCAGCCACACUGGAACUGAGACACGGUCCAGACUCCUACGGGAGGCAGCAGUGGGGAAUAUUGGACAAUGGGCGCAAGCCUGAUCCAGCUAUACCGCGUGGGUGAAGAAGGCCUUCGGGUUGUAAAGCCCUUUUGUUGGGAAAGAAAAGCAGCAGGUUAAUACCCCGCUGUUCUGACGGUACCCAAAGAAUAAGCACCGGCUAACUUCGUG